GAUUGACUUAUCACCAUAGGUAAUAAUCAGUUUUAGAGAGAAUAUUCACAUAGCAGCCAAUUCAGAAGGCAAUUCAAAUCAAGUGCACGCAGAGACCACACGUGACGAAUUCUCGCAUCUUGUUCGACGUGUUGGGGAGAGUGCGAACAAGUGUUAUCGCCUGAGGUGUGAACGAUUGAUCUUCGCCGGGCCUAUAAAAGCAAACAGAGCCAUUUUGAAAAAAGCAGUUUCUCAUCGGGAAGUCUAGUUAGUUCUCGAGUCCCACAACUGACGAGGCCGUAAUGAAGGCCAUUAAGGUAGCGCUCCUGUGUGUUCUGCUGGCAACGGCAGUCACUUGCCAAGGAGGAGGUGGCGGAGGCGGAGGAGGUAUUUAUUAAAUUUUUAAUUCGGAAGUUCAAUUUAAUACAGGAGAAUUUUCAAUUUCAGGAGGAGGCGGAGGCGGUGG